AAUUAAUUAAUAUAAUAAGUAUAUUUGAUUUCCAAUCAAAAAGUUUCUAAGGAAAUUAAUUA
rnacentral:tRNA from 1 species